AUUAAUUUAAAAUUCAGGAUUACUGUCGGACACGUUCGUGGCUCUAUUUUUCUCCAACUAGAUACGUCUAAGCGUGGAGGCUACAUAAUGGAGAGGAUGGCAGAGGUUGAGGGGCGGAUGAGAGAGAGAAUGGACAAGAUAGGGAUAGAGAGAGAGAGAGAGAGAGUGAGAAACAGAGAGAUAGAAGAAGAGACAUUGGGGAGAACCAGGAGAGGAUGGUUGUAUAUCGCGUGUCGGGUCGAGUCUCAUUGUCUUCCUGUCAGGACCGCGCAAAUAUUGCCACCAUCUCCAGAACGACGACUAUGGCCAUAUACCUAUGCAAACAGCCGGAUAAUAUGCGUGUAUGUAGGGGUACCGUAGAUAGUGCUCGCUGAAUAGAGACGAAUCGGGGAAGGAAACUGGCGAUGACGAACCGAUUGGCGCGAGGGAUCAUGGCGACGCAGUGCUCGCUGAAUGGAGACGAAUCGGAGAAAGAAACUGAGGCUGGCGAUGACGAACCGAUUGGCGCGAGGAAUAACGGCGACGCAGAGUUACUUGGCGACUGUGUCGAUGGUGCAGCAGCAAGUGCUUGUACGGCCAAUGUGGAAAUCUUGCCGACGCAGAAUUAAUAAGUGAAACCCCUCGAAAAAGUGAUCUCUUUGCUGAUCAAUUAUGAAGAUAUCCGUGUCGCUGGACUAAAGGAUUCGAACUAAGUAAAGAAACGCGUAUGUGAUACACGGUUAAUAGUAACUACAUAGUUAUACCGGGAGUGCCGUCUUACGCGAUCGUAAUUAGUUGUAUUUUCGCGAGUGCCGUCUCACGCGAUCGUAAUUAGCUUUCGCGAGUGAAUAUAAGUGCAACGAAGAAACCUGAGAGGAGGAGGAGGCCUGAGAGGCAUCAGGCAACGGUGGAGCAACUGUAAGAUCAACGUAGUACAUAACUCCACUGCUGCGCAUCGGUGCCGAGUCUCCAAAUCCAGUUCCGGAUCUUCUACGGUACAACGUGGAUUUGUGCAGUACAAGGGCGGUUGCAGCGCGGAACAGGACAGCAAGGGUCGAAGAGUGAUGCGCCUCUUGACCGUGGACCAUACGUAAAGCGGACGAAAUUAAUCGCGCAAUAAAAGCUGACGGCCGGACACUAACGCGCCGGUGCACUCCAAAUUCCGGAAAAUAUAUCGUUCACACCUGCGCGACAAACAAGAUGAUGCUGAGGCGUUCACGGUGAACGCCAGUCAGCCGAGCAGCGGGGACCGCGAUGAAUUAUAGCACGCACGCGUUCUCCAGGAAGCGUUUCGGCAGAUGAGCCAGGCCGCGUGUACGCCGAUGGUUAGCAGAAAAGGCGGAAACUCUCGGAGCGAGAUGCACGUACGAUGCGAAGGAGCAAGGGCGGUCGCAAGAACCCGAGCAUCCACCGCCCUUAGCCAUCACUUGGAGCAUUUUUGUUGCAGCUACCAGAGCCGGGUGCCGGUUCGCAAACGGCGAAACUAGACGCAACACACAACACCGGCCGGGCCGCCCUCUCUUUGGUAUUACUUCGGGCAUGUAAUGGAGCUCACCAGGUCGACGGGAACCAAAAGGUGCAUCCUUUCCAGGCAAAUACCACCGGUGGUACCAGCAGCACAACGCGAGAACAAAUAUUUGAUGGAACGAACGAUGCAUAAACCUGCACCGAGACCGGGGCUGAAAAGCAACGCCGGCGAGCAACGCAAGAUCGCGAGAUCGACGCUUACAACAUAAUAUAAUGCACUAUAUCUGAAUUUACUUAAGGAACGAAAUGGAAAUUGCGAAAGUAAUAGCGACAAGCUUCGGAAGAAGGUCAACUGCUAAAAUACGAGGAAAAUAAAGAUGAAACUUUUAACUAUUUUUAUAUACCGCUGGAAAUAAAGUGGUUAUUAUUUUAUACCAACAUUUUACUCGUAUUUUAGCCGUUGAUUUUCAUGCACAACUUAGCUUACAAGGAGCGUUGACUUAUCUAUUAAUUUGAUAGCGAUAAUUUUAAACUUUUUUAUUAAUGAAAUAAUCACUUGUGUUUCAGCAUUAAUGAAUACUUGAAGUGUUUUUUUCUCUGUAAUGUGAUUUGAGUUUCUCAGAAAUAAUGGAAAUUAAUUUCAGGUUUUAAUUGUGCUAGUUGAACUAAUCCAAAGUAGACCAUACCUUGAUGCAUAAUUAUGCUUGAACUAUAUUAAAAAUCGCGAAAGUUUCAAAUGUAAUUUUUAUUAUAAUAGUAAAAUAGUUGUUAGCAUAUUUUAGCAUUUAUUGAAUAUUUGAGAAGCGUCUUCUCUUCCAAUACACUUUUAUUUUCGUUAAAAUAAUAAAAAUUAAUUUUACUUUUUAAUUUUAUGUUAAUUGAGAUGAUGAAGAGUAAAACUAGUUUGAAAUAGCAUCACGUUCAUAAUUAAUUAAAAAUCACGACAGUUUUGAACAAUAUUUUUAAUAAUGAGAUAAUCGCCGUUCAACGAUAAUAAAUAUUUAUUUAUAUUUUCUUUAAAUAUAAAAUAAUUUUAAUUUAGUGUUAGUUGUACCAGUUCAGAAUUUCAAGCUUUAAUUCAUACAUAUGAAAACUUGGCUUGGAGAGAACACUGCAAUACCAAACCGAAUAAAAAUCUCAACACAAUUCUAACUUUCCAUAUACAUACAUAUAUCAUUUAUCAUUUAUUUGAAGAAAUACAAAAAGAAUUCUUUUUGCGUUAAUUUUACAAUGUAUUUCGUGUUCGUGUUUUUCGCAAUGUUGCUCCUUCGAUGUGAUAUGUGUUUUACAACACGGCUUUUAAUUACAUUCUUAUAAUUAUAUAUUACUUAUACUGUAAUGUGUGCACCAUAAUUUACGUGUGUAAUUUACUUAUAUAUAUUCAAUUUUGUUUAGUGUAGAUGCACGUAGAGAAAAUGAACAGAGUUGUGACACGACAGUUUGCAAUAAAUCUUGCGUAAUGAAAAGCC